UUGCUAUGAGAGGGGAGAUACCAUGAUCACGAAGGUGGUUUUCCCAGGGUGAGGCUCAUCCAUUGCACUGCGGGUGUGCUGACCCCUGCGAUUUCCCCAAAUGCGGGAAACUCGACUGCAUAAUUUGUGUUGCUAUGAGAGUCCUUCCUG
rnacentral:snRNA from 1 species